CAAUAAUUUUGCUAUUUUUGCUCCCACUCCCUAGCCUAGAUAAAAUAGAACUUUUUAUUUAACUUUUCAACCUUUCCUCAUUAUUAUUUUUGUUGUUUCCAUCCCUUUCUUCUUCCUUUCUCAUUUCUCUUAAAAUUCUCUUCUUCUUCUCUCUUGAGCCGCCCAAAAAACUAGCUUUUUGCACCCCUCUUUGUUGUCCACUUCUCAUUCCCUGGUGGUAGUUUGUUGUUCGUUAUCUUCACCUUCUUGCUAUUGUUUUCAAUUUAUUUUCCAGCCUCCAAUCUGUUGUUUUCUUCACUCAAAAACAUCCCGCAUUGUUGUCAUUAAAAUCACCAUUAUCACCCAUUUCUCUUAUUUAUGUGUAUUCGAUUACCUUUUGUUCGACAAUUUGGAAGUAGUUAAUGGUAGCGUAAGUGCAAAAUUUAGUGAAAACUAGUGUCGUACUAAUUUUGUUUAAAGUUGAUGAUUUGGUCGAAUAUUUCUAAGGAUUUUUAGUAAUGCUUAAUUAUUGAUUUUUUAUAUGAAAUUGAUUGUAGUUGCUGAUCAUAACAUCCCGUACCAACAGUAAAAAUUGGAACCUAUUUGCACUCUCACUAGACAUUGUUUUAAUGUAAGAUUGACCGUUUUUGCGAAUCUAAAAAUUCGUUUUUGAAACAUUGUUUUGGACCAAUCCUUAGGGGUGUUUCAAGGCUAGUCUUAAGUGUAAAAUUAAUGUUUUAAUGCUAUUUUUGUAUCAACAUUCAUUUAGGGUUUAAGGUACGAAAGUGCAAAUUUUUACGAAGUUGUGCCGCGAGUUGCGAAAUAAGGUGUGGUUCCUAACUUUGCAUAAUUGGAUGUAAAUUCUUCAUAUAAGUUAUAAUUUGAUAUAAAAUGCUUGUUGGUUGGGCAUGGCUAAAUGGUCUAAUAAGCGAAUUAAAAGUUGUCGAGCAAGGUAUGUGACUUAAAAAAUAUUGACUGAGUGGUUAAGCUCUUACCAAGAUUGUCUGUAUGUGAAAUUGUUAUAUUUGAUUGUUUGAUUGAUUACCAAUGUUAGGGAUUAUAGUAUGCUUGUUGGGAUAUGCUUUGAAAUGAUGUUAUAUCGUGUUUAUUGAUUAUUGAAUGCAUGUGUAAUGUUCGACAUGCUAUGCCACUGUUCAAAUUGCAUACUAAGUAUGACUAGAUUGUAUCGUAAGUUACAUACUAGUGAAACUGUUGAUUUGAUUGAUUGAAUAUAUACAAGUCUAAAAUCGAAUAUGCUAUUGAAAGCAUGUUUGAAUGCUAAUGUUAUUAAAAAAUAAAAGUAUGCAAAGCAUACACUGACACUGAUUAUUGAUACACAUGUUAAGCAUUCCACUGUAUCGAGAUUGAUUUUGAUAGCAUGAAUUGCUCACUGAUUGUAUGGCAUUUUGUAUCUGCAUGGGGUGAGUACUUUUUGGUUGACGGAGGAGUUCUAUGGAGAUCCGGCGGCAUUUAAAGUCUGCAAUACUGUUGUCAGUGCACUACAUCAGAAAUUUGAAGAGAUUAGGUAAUUUUUAUCGCAUUUUUACUUGCAGCUUGUCUACAUUUUUACCUACAAUUGUAUUUGCAUAUUGUUAUUGGUGGUUUUAACCACAACGGGCUUAAGGCCUUAUUGUUUUGGAGUUUGGUAGAUGGUUCUGAGGAACUCGUGGUGUGUAACGGAUGGUUGCGUAGGAACCUUUUGCAUUGCAUACUCCAUUUUGUAUAUUGGUAUGGUUUAAUAUGAACUCUUGUUGAUAUGAACUUCAUGAGAUGGCUUUAUGGUCUUUGGUUAAUGCAUAUAUGCGCUGAUUGAUAAAUUAUUCUAUUUGUUAUGGUCA